UACAGAGGUCUCGAGCGUUGUUCGGAUUCAUUGGGCGUAAAGGGUGCGUAGGCGGCGCGGUAAGUCGGGUGUGAAAUCUCGGAGCUUAACCCCGAAACUGCAUUCGAUACUGCCGUGCUUGAGGACUGGAGAGGAGACUGGAAUUUACGGUGUAGCGGUGAAAUGCGUAGAUAUCGUAAGGAAGACCAGUGGCGAAGGCGGGUCUCUGGACAGUUCCUGACGCUGAGGCACGAAGGUCAGGGGAGCAAACGGG
rnacentral:rRNA from 1 species